rnacentral:lncRNA from 1 species
UCCUAUGAUUACCCCAUCGUCUAGGAGGUUCUAACUCAAUCUAGUUAUGCAGUUAAAAUCUACUUUUUCACAUAAUACAUGCGCGAAUAUCAUCUUAAUCACUAAGCCUGGUCAUUCUCAUUCGCAUUUAAAUGCAUGCUUAUUGCAAAGGAGAGAGGAGAAAAAGCAUAUACAUACAUGUAUGUAUAAUAUACUACUCACAGUAAGACGCUCCAAAACUAACCUCCAUCCGUCGCACUUAAUGACUCCGGGUUAUC